rnacentral:lncRNA from 1 species
GGAUAAGCUCAAAUCCUCUGCUCCGCGUCCCAGCCGCGUCCAAGAUCUUCUCCCGCGCGUUGAAGAAGCUCGGUUCCUUCCUCUCAUCCCCUGGAUUCACGUCAAUAGGAUAUGCUCCGACUCCCAGAAUCAUCCCAGCUUCAACCACAUCCCGCUUCCUUUCAUCCUUAUCCUACACUGAUAAGAUCAUAUCCCCCGCAUGAUAACAAGGGUUAGAGGGAUAUAAAAGGAGGAAGCUUCACUGGGAGGGGGGCAGCUUGUUCUGGGAGUCCCACAGAAGUCACAGAAGGCAGGAGACAAGGAAGAGAGAAAACCAGUCGGGAUGGAAGCUUUCUCCACUGUUGUUGUCAUCCAUAAUCCCAUGGAAGGUUGAUUUCUUCACUAGGGCUGGAUGCAGCCCUAACAAAAGGGCAAGAAUUUUUGUAUUUUUGAUUUCUAUUCUUGAAGUUGUAUAAACUUUAUUUGUGCUCAAUGAAUAUUCCCUUUCAUCUCGUAUUUGUCAAUCC